AUUUCUUUUACAGGCUUAAAACACUGUUGUGUGUUGUCCCAAAAUACCUUGAUUAGCAGUUGGCAGUUGAGCCAGGGGAGGGACCCCUGCAUUUAGACAGGCAAUUUACAAACUCCCCAAAGUCACUCCGAAGAGACAAGGACAAGAGGAUUAACAGAGCAAUUUUGUCUACUCAGAAGUAGGUGCCACUGAGUUCGAUGGAUAUCCAGGUAAGUGGAUAUAGGAUUGCAUCUUUAGCAAAAGAAAGGGAGGAUUAACCUUCAGGGGAAAAGGCUGUUGAAACAGUGAAUGUGGUCUCCAUCGCCACUGAUCUCCUCCGCCCCUUUUAGGUUUUUGAUACGGUGUGUCAAAUUUAGCCAUUUAGGUGGCAGGAGAUUUCUCAAGACACUUGUGUCGUGCGUUCUGCCAGUGCACUUCAGUGAGAAAGUGACAGCUACAGCUGGAGAGAAGAUGAUGGCUUAAUAUUGCGUGUGUGCAACAGACUUCCCCUUCCCUAAUUUGAAAACAUAUUGUAUAAAAAGAAAAAGAAGGUGCACGCUUGUACUGUGUAGCUGCAUCAGGCAACACCCAUCCAUCUGGAGCCACACAAUCUGAUUUGAUAUAAUUAAGAAAAGAAGAUCUGGGGACAUGCCUGCAAAAUAUGCACACAGUUAUUUUAGAAUAGUGACUAAAAGACAGAGCUUAAAAAUAGGGAGCUUCUCUGGCCAAAUCUUGCCUCUGCAGCUAGAGAUGGGCAAAUCUGUCAUUUUCUGUUUCUCUCCCCCCCCCCCCCCAAUUCUUAAAUUCACUUCUUGCAUUCCCCCCCCCCCCAUAGAAAUAGAGCUUGCUGGAACAAGUGCAGAAAAGGGGAAGGAACAUGAGCAUGGAGUUGGAUCAACUUCUCUACGAGAAAAAGUUAUAGCAUUUGGGGCUUUUCAGUUUAAAAAGGCAAAUAAAGGGGAACGUUAUUUGGCAGAAUGAGUUUUUGGUGGAAGGAGAAGUUCAGCAGAAUGGAAAGAGUGCUGCUUGCAACAGACACAGAGCAGGGCAGGAAAUGAGUCCCUAACACACACACACACACACACACACACACACACACACCCAGUAUCUCAUGCAACUUUGCGAACGGAAUGCUGCACUAGAGAGGGCUUUCAGCUGAUCCACCAGGGCUCUUAUUAUGUUCUUAUUUGGGAUUGUCCUGCCUCACUGCUCAUGAUUUUGGUUCUGCUUUUGAAUAUUAAUUAAAAAGAGAAAGGCAGGAAGUGAGCUUUCCCACUCUCUCCAUUUCUUUCUUUGUUUUGUCUGUCUGUCGUCUCUUUUGAUUUGUCUGUUCAUGUGCAGAAUUUUAAGAAGUCAUAAUAUAUUAUCACUGAUUAGACAAAGAAGUUGCAGUGAAUGUAGGUCUGUUUGAUCAAGCAUCUGUACUUUGAUCGCCUAGUUAAACAUAAAAGAAAUCUAGCCUACAAUUUACAUAACAUCAUUAUAAAAAAAAGACACAAUCGUUGGAUGCAACUAAGGAACAAACAUUGCCUCUUGUAUGAAUCUGGCAUCUGAAGGUGGUAUUAAUGGAUUAUUUCCACCCAUGCAUGACUUUCUUUAACCCCUUUGUCAAUGGUCAGUUGUACCAGGAGCUUCCAUCUGCAAUAUUGCUCUUAUUAAAGUACUGCCAGAGAAAGGGACCAAUGGGGCUUAGGGAUGACAGAGAAUUCAAAUGAAAAUGAAAAGGGUAGCAAAAAUUGCUGUGGUUUGUAUGUUUGUCUGUGGUCAGGAUCAGGAACAGAAACAAGUCAAGCGGAUAUGAUUGGUGUUCAUUCACAUUGUUGUGGUUUUUUAAAAAACUCCACAAAUGAUAUGUAAUUAAUGACCUUUUUACAUUGCUUUGAUAUUUCCUUUAUUUUGAAAUGAGUAUUAUGUAACUUGCGUAAAUAGUUAUGUAAUAUAUGUAUGGAUGUAAGGUAAAAGGUAAAGGUAAAGGACCCAUGGGCGGUUAAGUCCAAGCAAAGGCAACUGUGGGGUGCGGUGCUCAUCUCAAUUUUCAGGCUGAGGGAGUCAGCGUUUGUCCACAGACAGCUUUCCAGGUCAUGUGGCCAGCAUGACGAAACCGCUUCUGGUGCAAUGGAAAUGUUCUGUAUGUAGCUUAAGCUAAAUAAUAGGGAGAAAGUAUUUGAUGAACUACAGACUGCAAUGGAAAUCACUGCCUUCUUACAUCCUUAGAGGAGUCAUAUGCUGUGAACAAUUUUUAAAAGAUACCAGAGAUAUAAAAUGAAGUAACUAUGUCCUGGAGGUAUGAGAAAUUCAUAUUGGAAAAGUCAAGUUGCUGGAUUUUUUCCUGGCCUGGCCUGGCACCUUUAAUAGUUAUAUGUCAAGCUGAAAUUCAGCAGGUGUCUCCCUAUGUUUGGAAAGCAUCACCUCAGUUUUGGGCUGUCAAGCAGUGAGGAGAGCCCCCUCCCUCUUAGCUUCAGAUUGGUCCCCUUGUCCUAGCUUGAAUAGUUGGAGAGAGUUUUGGAUUCACAACAAUGGAGAUUCUUGGGUGACUUUGGGCCCAUCGCAAUCUCUUUGUCAAAUCUGCCUCAUAAGACUGUUGUUGUGAGGAUAAAGGAAGGGGGAGAACCAUGUAUACCAUACCAAUCUCCUUGGAUGAAGGGUGAUAUAUAAAUGUAAUAAAUGAAUCAACAAACAGCCUUUGCAUUUACCUCUCUUGAUAUAUCUCUGACAGCAAAAGGGGUUCAGUUGGUGAGCAAGAAGGGCCUUUUCUGUAGCAGCAUCCUGGUUGUGGAAUUCCUUCCAAAAGAAGAUGAGACUAGCCCAUCCCUGAUGAUGUUGGUAACCAAUUGAAACAUAUUUAUUCCACAUAGCUUUUAAAAUAUAUAAAUAAAAGAUUUCCUUUUGAAUUUAAGGUUUUAGUUGUUGUUUUUAAUUUGAGGGUAAUUUUCUUGGUUUUGCUCUUAUAUGUAAACCUCUUUGAGCUAAGGCUGUUAACAAGCUAUAAUAAUUUAUAAAAUAUAAAUAAUACAAACUGUCUUUCACUCGUGGUAUUCCUUUUGCAGUCAGACAAUGGCCUUUUACAGUGGAAACUCAAGGAAUACAAAAGUGGAA